GUGAGGAAUUUUCCGCAAUGGGCGAAAGCCUGACGGAGCAAUGCCGCGUGAAGGAUGAAGGCCUAUGGGUUGUAAACUUCUUUUCUCAGAAAAGAAUUAUGACGGUAUCUGAGGAAUAAGCAUCGGCUAACUCUGUGCCAGCAGCCGCGGUAAGACAGAGGAUGCAAGCGUUAUCCGGAAUGAUUGGGCGUAAAGCGUCUGUAGGUUGUUUAAAAAGUAUUCUGUCAAAGAUUAGGGCUUAACCCUAGAUAGGCAGAAUAAACUUUUAAGCUAGAGUUUGGUAGAGGCAGAGGGAAUUCCCGGUGGAGCGGUGAAAUGUGUAGAUAUCGGGAGGAACACCAAAGGCGAAGGCACUCUGCUGGGCCAAUACUAACACUGAGAGACGAAAGCGAGGGGAGCAAAUGGGAUUAGAAACCCGGGUAGUCC
rnacentral:rRNA from 1 species